rnacentral:rRNA from 1 species
GACGAACGCUGGCGGCGUGCCUAAUACAUGCAAGUAGAACGCUGAAGGAGGAGCUUACUUCUCUGGAUGAGUUGCGAACGGGUGAGUAACGCGUAGGUAACCUGCCUGGUAGCGGGGGAUAACUAUUGGAAACGAUAGCUAAUACCGCAUAAGAGUAGAUGUUGCAUGACAUUUACUUAAAAGGUUCAAUUGCACCCCUACCAGAUGGACAUGCGUUGUAUUAGCUAGUUGGUGGGGUAACGGCUUACCAAGACGACGAUACAUAGCCGACCGGAAGGGGUGAUCGGCCACACUGAGACUGAGACGCGGCCCAAACUCCUACGGGAGGCAGCAGUAGGGAAUCUUCGGCAAUGGACGGAAGUCUGACCGAGCAACGCCGCGUGAGUGAAGAAGGUUUUCGGAUCGUAAAGCUCUGUUGUAAGAGAAGAACGAGUGUGAGAGUGGAAAGUUCACACUGUGACGGUAUCUUACCAGAAAGGGACGGCUAACUACGUGCCAGCCGCCGCGGUAA